CAGAUAACCAUGGUUAAUAAAUGGUCAGUAGAUGACACGUCACUGGCUUUAAAAUAUAAACCCCAUUGAUGCAAAAAGAUGCUGCAUGGAAUGACAAUGAGGUUUGGAACAGACUUGGUGAAGAACAUGGAAACAUCUCUAAAUAAAAUGGCCCCAAACAUCAUCAGGAGUGCAAAAGAAGGAAGUAAAAAACAUCUCUACGCCAAUCUCAUUGGAACAGCAGAGGAAAGCACAGAAGAUAACUACAUCAUAUGCUUGUUCUUUGCCCCGUGUCUGGUGAGGAAUGCUGCACUUAUGUUAUUGCAAGCAUUAUUUCAAGAAAAUCCCAGCUUCCUUUACUGUGUAAAUAGUGAACCCAAAGGUCCCACACCAACCAUAGUGUUCAACGGCUCUCCUGAUCCUCUCAAAGCUGAAAGUAUCAACUUUAUAAUGGACAAUGUGAACAUAAUAUGUGGACGACAUUGACAUCUGUGGAAUGACUGUUUGCGUUUUUUUUUCUCCUCAAUGUUCAAUACCCUUUUGCUAUUAGGCACACAGUGACUUUAAUUUAUAAAA